rnacentral:pre_miRNA from 1 species
GGGUGGAUUACCGGGCCAUGUCUCCUUGGGCAGAGUGAUCAGAUUGCACUUCACUUCAAUCUCUUGCUCUAGCUUGUUCUCUCUGCCAAAGGAGAUUUGCCCAGCAAUCCACAU